rnacentral:rRNA from 1 species
GACGAACGCUGGCGGCGUGCCUAAUACAUGCAAGUAGAACGCUGAAGGAGGAGCUUGCUUCUCCGGAUGAGUUGCGAACGGGUGAGUAACGCGUAGGUAACCCGCCUGGUAGCGGGGGAUAACUAUUGGAAACGAUAGCUAAUACCGCAUAACAGUAGAUAUUGCAUGAUAUCUGCUUGAAAGGUGCAAUUGCAUCACUACCAGAUGGACCUGCGUUGUAUUAGCUAGUUGGUGAGGUAACGGCUCACCAAGGCGACGAUACAUAGCCGACCUGAGAGGGUGAUCGGCCACACUGGGACUGAGACACGGCCCAGACUCCUACGGGAGGCAGCAGUAGGGAAUCUUCGGCAAUGGACGGAAGUCUGACCGAGCAACGCCGCGUGAGUGAAGAAGGUUUUCGGAUCGUAAAGCUCUGUUGUAAGAGAAGAACGAGUGUGAGAGUGGAAAGUUCACACUGUGACGGUAUCUUACCAGAAAGGGACGGCUAACUACGUG